rnacentral:rRNA from 1 species
UGGGGGAUAUUGCACAAUGGGCGAAAGCCUGAUGCAGCGACGCCGCGUGGGGGAUGAAGGCUUUCGGGUUGUAAACCUCUUUCGCUAUCGAACAAGGCCCGCUUAGGGUGGGUUGAGGGUAGGUGGAGAAGAAGCGCCGGCUAACUACGUGCCAGCAGCCGCGGUAAUACGUAGGGCGCGAGCGUUGUCCGGAAUUAUUGGGCGUAAAGGGCUUGUAGGCGGCUGGGUGCGCUUGCUGUGAAAACGCGGGGCUUAACUUCGCGCGUGCAGUGGGUACAGGCAGGCUUGAGUGUGGUAGGGGUGACUAGAAUUCAAGGUGUAGCGGUGGAAUGCGCAGAGAAGUGGAGGAGCACCGAUGGCGAAGGCAGGUCACUGGGCCAUUACUGACGCUGAGGAGCGAAAGCAUGGGUAGCGAAGAGG